CCACUUAUAAGAGGCUUUCCUAUUCCACACCUACUCUAAGGGUAAUGCACGAGGCGCCGCUUGCGGUCUUCCCUUUUUUUCUAUAUUACCACAAAUCAGUGAAGAUGUCAUCUGUGAGUCCCUGGCUAUAGCAGCACUGUAAUCUACAUAGCCAACAGAUAAAUAUUUUUGUUUAUUGCUUAUUUUUAGCAAUUUUUUAUCUUUUGGCAAAAAUUAUUUGGUAGGGAAAACACUGGUCUAUGUGAUGGCUGGGGAUAGUGUAGUAAUUGUUGUAAUAUAGGGCACAUAUUAUAUUCUCUGACUUCUUAUAUGUGAUUUCUAUUUUGUGUCAGCAGGCUUAACCCUUACACUGCCUUCCUGCAUAUAUUAAAAUUACACUAGCUGCAGGAAGACACAAGGCAAUGUAAGGGUUAAAAUAAGUGACACAUAUUGAGAUAGUGGAGCUAAAAAAGAAGCUGACUGCACUCCUUCCCCCCUAUCAAGGCUGGACCUUGACAAGACUACUGCUCCCUCACCCUCCACAUACCUCAGUGUAAAGCUAUGCUGAGGACUCCCCACCGCCCCCAUUGCCAUCUCCCGUUACCCUGAAAAUCCUACUAUAUGGCCUGGUCCCUGCACUCACAGUCUGCCGCUCUGUCAGGACAGGUCAUGGAAGGAGGUGCUCCCUCCCUCUCUGCUCUGGCUGCCUGUGUCAGUGUGCAGGGUGGCUGGAGCAGAUCAGGGAGAAGCUCCCAUCGCCUGCACCUAUCUGUCAGUCCCAAAAUGUUAGGCUUUGACUGUAUUUCUUGAUUCCUGUUUGUAUUUUCCUGAUAUUGGUAUCUAUAAGUGAGUCUGGUUUGGUCUGUUUCCAUUGCAAGUUUCAGUAUUUUGCUUCCAAUGUGUUUAUUUGGUUCUUGCUACCUUUUUGGUGUUUUUUGUUUUAUUUUUUUUUGUUUAGUUUAGUCUAGGGUGGUGCAGGAACAUUACAGAGGAAGAUUUAGUUUGCUGUGUUCAUUUAGCUUAGGGGAAGAUCAAGGGGAAAAUAAAGAAGAGUUAGUUAGGGUCUUUUAACAUGUUUCUCUUUGUGUUGUCCCUUUUUUCAUACUUGUUUACCGUCUUUGAUGCCAUUAAAAAUACAACUCACACCACAAAAAUAAUGCUAUACUCUUUACAUUACUCUGAGAGUUACAUUAACAGUGUAGCUCCUGGAACAAUACCAUUUGAGCAACUCCUAUUAUAGUCAAUGUAAGGUAUGCAAAUUUUGUAACUUUUUCUCUUCAGCUGCUUCUGGAUUUUCCAACCACCUCAUUUGGCCACACACGGGUAUGAGCUGGCUGGAAACUUAAUGAGCAAGGUGUUCCUCACAAGAUUUCUGACAUAGGAGUGAAAAGAAUUAUCAAAAGAGUUGUCCAAGAGCCCAGGACCACUUGUGGAGAGCCUCAAAAAGACCUGAAAUUGGCAGAUGCAAGUAAAGAGGUCACAGUGUGUUACAGAAGCUUAUUCAUCAGGGUUUUCUUGGCAAGUGCACCAACCUCUUUAUUCCAGUUAAGUAAUGUGUGGGAUUCAUCCUACACUCAAAAUUCAGACCUUACAGGUUGUGGCUGUCUCGUGAUUUUUCUUUAUCAAAAGAUUCCCUUAUUUGUGUAUAUCGUACGAUGCAUUUAAUAUUAUCUGAAUGGUAUG